AAUCAAAUGCUACAGUGUUCCGUGUAGCAAAAGGGGACCUUGGUAACCCGGGCGACGUCCCAGCCGGUUUGUUCUUAGUAUUAUUUGUAUUCAUCAUGCAUAAAGCUACCAAGUUAAUGAUGCCCUCGGGGAAAAAUCCACCAGCAGUAAAGUUUCUUCUAGGAAGAAACUUGACAUCGACUUGGUUGUAGUAAAAAGUAAAAACACAAAAAUACUGAACUCCGAGGAAAAUUCAAAAAGGAAAAUCAAAAAUCAAAAGGCAAAAUCAAAAGUCCAAACACAUCAAACGAAUGGAUAACAACUGUCAUAUUCCUGACUUGGUACAGGCAUUUUCUAAUGUAGAAAAUGGUGGAUUGAACCUGGUUUUAUAGCUAGCUAAACCUCUCACUUGUAUGACAGUCGCAUCAAAUUCCAUUACAUUGUCAACGAUGCAUGAACAAAACAAACAUACUCAAAGAGUAAAAAUGUCAAAAAUAGG
rnacentral:lncRNA from 1 species